rnacentral:tRNA from 1 species
GCAUUGUGGCUCAGUGGUAGAGCCCUUGCUCAGCAUGCGUGAGGCACUGGGUUCGAUCCCCAGCACCA